rnacentral:misc_RNA from 1 species
GAUGAAGAACGCAGCGAAAUGCGAUACGUAAUGUGAAUUGCAGAAUUCAGUGAAUCAUCGAAUCUUUGAACGCAUAUUGCGCUCUCUGGUAUUCCGGAGAGCAUGCCUGUCCGAGCGUCAUUGCUGCCCUCAAGCACGGCUUGUGUGUUGGGCCUCCGUCCUCCUCCCGGGGGACGGGCCCGAAAGGCAGCGGCGGCACCGCGUCCGGUCCUCGAGCGUAUGGGGCUUCGUCACCCGCUCUUGUAGGCCCGGCCGGCGCUUGCCGACACAUCAAUCUUUUUUCCAGGUUGACCUCGGAUCAGGUAGGGAUACCCGCUGAACUUAAGCAUAUCAAUAAGCGGAGGA